AACGGGUGAGUAACGCGUAAGAACCUGCCCUUGCGAGGGGAACAACAACUGGAAACGGUUGCUAAUACCCCGUAGGCUGAGGAGCAAAAGGAGAAAUCCGCCCAAGGAGGGGCUCGCGUCUGAUUAGCUAGUUGGUGAGGCAAUAGCUUACCAAGGCGAUGAUCAGUAGCUGG
rnacentral:ncRNA from 1 species